rnacentral:snRNA from 1 species
GUGCUUAUUUCGGCAGCAUAUAUAUUAAAAUUGGAACUAUGCAGAGAUUAGCAUGGCCCCUGUGCAAGGAUAUGCAAAUUGAGGAAGCUAUAUAUGUGUGU